rnacentral:rRNA from 1 species
GACGAACGCUGGCGGCGUGCUUAACACAUGCGAGUCGAGCGGUAAGGCCCUUCGGGGUACACGAGCGGCGAACGGGUGAGUAACACGUGGGUGAUCUACCCUGUACUUCGGGAUAAGCCUGGGAAACUGGGUCUAAUACCGGAUAUGACCUUCCGAUGCAUGUCGGUGGGUGGAAAGAUUUAUCGGUACAGGAUGGGCCCGCGGCCUAUCAGCUUGUUGGUGGGGUAAUGGCCUACCAAGGCGACGACGGGUAGCCGGCCUGAGAGGGCGACCGGCCACACUGGGACUGAGACACGGCCCAGACUCCUACGGGAGGCAGCAGUGGGGAAUAUUGCACAAUGGGCGAAAGCCUGAUGCAGCGACGCCGCGUGAGGGAUGACGGCCUUCGGGUUGUAAACCUCUUUCGACAGGGACGAAGCGCAAGUGACGGUACCUGUAGAAGAAGCACCGGCCAACUACGUGCCAGCCGCCGCCGUAAAAC